AUUGAACGCUGGCGGAAUGCUUUACACAUGCAAGUCGAACGGCAGCACGGGGGCAGCCCUGGUGGCGAGUGGCGAACGGGUGAGUAAUACAUCGGAACGUGCCCGGUCGUGGGGGAUAACGUAGCGAAAGUUACGCUAAUACCGCAUACGAUCUGAGGAUGAAAGCGGGGGACCUUCGGGCCUCGCGCGAUCGGAGCGGCCGAUGUCAGAUUAGGUAGUUGGUGGGGUAAAGGCCUACCAAGCCGACGAUCUGUAGCUGGUCUGAGAGGACGACCAGCCACACUGGGACUGAGACACGGCCCAGACUCCUACGGGAGGCAGCAGUGGGGAAUUUUGGACAAUGGACGCAAGCCUGAUCCAGCCAUUCCGCGUGCAGGACGAAGGCCUUCGGGUUGUAAACUGCUUUUGUACGGAACGAAAAGGCUCUGGCUAAUACCUGGGGCUCAUGACGGUACCGUAAGAAUAAGCACCGGCUAACUACGUG
rnacentral:rRNA from 1 species